AGGCUGUAAUGGUUGGUUUCGCCAAAAUUGUAGAAAAGAGGUCAAAGAAGUAAACGCCAGGUGCACGAAGGAGAAGCAAACAUUGAGAGUUGAAGCUAACGCUAGGUGCGAUAGAGAGAAGCAGACACUAAGAGCUGAUUUAAACAGACAAUCGUCAAAUAAGCGGAGGAUACUGGCACGCCGUCUGUCCGACUGUCUGAAGAAGCCUAAUUCAGGCACCUGUACCACCGAUGUUCAAUGUUUCUGGGAUUCGAUCAUCAAGAAAUGUAUUCCCAAGGAAUUGGCUUUGUAAAGAACUA